CUCAAGGCAUUUCUUGUAUUCUAGUCCUGAUCAACCAUUGGGUCCUGAAGACUUGGUUUGGAAAAUGAUGGUUGGCAAGGUGGUGAACAUCAAGCUACACACCAGAAGAUCCCAACGUGUAGUGGAAGGAUCAAGAAGUCAGUGUACUUGUGAAUGCAGGUCUGGCAAAAUCACUAAUACUGCUUCAAUAAUUUCUUGAAUCACUUUGUUUAAUUUUAGUAUUCUUUGGUGGGCUAGUUUGUUGUAAAACAUCACUACUACUCGACGGGAAAAAUAAUUUAAAUGUCUGUAGGAUGAUCAGCCUUGUGUGAAAGCUAAUGGCAAUCAAAUAUCAUAAUUGCGUA